UCAAUCUCGAGCCGCGUCUCCUGUCUGCGACGUUUAUCCCCGUCGAUUCGAAGGGCCACCCUACCGGGUUCAAAGAAAACAUAUUUUCCAAAGGGCCUCCGGCUAAAAAUUAAUAUUCUUCUGCUGGCAAAUGUAACAGACUUCGAAAACGCAAUCACCGAUUCCAUUCCCAGUCAUUACAAACCAACGCGUAUCGAAAUUACAAAAAAAGGAGAACACACAGCGGUACGGUUCGCUUCGAAACGAAAAUAUCGAAAAAGAAAAAAGAAAAAAAAAGAGGGAAGGAUCGUAUCAAAGAGAUCCCCCUGUGUGCGAGUUCUAUCGAAUCAGCAGAAGGAAAAUAAACUUACAAUCAAAGAACAACAGCGACUGGUCGCUAACUUCGUUUCGUUAAGAACAAAGACGGAGAGACGGAAAAACAAAAGAGAAAAGAGGAAAAACGAUAAAGACGAUACGGCAAUCGUUGGGCUAAAGUAUCCUUCUCCUCG
rnacentral:misc_RNA from 1 species